GGUUUAUAACAUUACCUGUGAGGGUGGUUGUGAGGAUUAUAAUCAAAUAAUGCAUUUGAAAAUGCCAAAAAACACAUGAUAGUACCUUAACACCAACCACCUAACAUGAUAGAUGAGCUAACAUAUUAGACGAGCUAAUGCACAUCUCUCUAACAUGAGUUCCACGAGGAAUGAUUUUUGUUUCGUUUGCAGAACCACUCUGCUCUGACCCACACUAAGGGUUCAAUAAAUUGGUGUUGAAUGGGGGAAAUUGCUCAGCCGCCACCCCGCCCCGACCUGCGCUACUGCAUUACGGCAGGUGCCAGGCUGUGAACGCCAGGCUGUGCCAAGCUCCGCCCCUCUGGAGCUCUGCCCUGGGGGAAGAGGGGAGAAUCGGAGGCUAGGUCUGUGUGACUGUUAGAGUUAGUGAGAAGGCAACGGGCACCCAAAAGUCCAGAGAAAGGUCCAGCAAAAGGCAACGGGAAUCUGAACAGCAGACCCAACUUGGCAUUCCAGGCUAGCCCUGCUCUGGAGUUUCCCUUGGCCGCUGCAGGGACUGGCCUGUCCUCGCAGGAUUUUCGUUGAGACUCUGCGGCCCUGGACUUCUAGGCAGGGCCCAGCCUUGCAGACUGUAAGUCAUGAGGCUGACUCUUGGAAAUUCCACUCCUCGGAAACUCAAAAUAACAAUAAGGAACUCAUUUAAAGAACUUUUAAAGGUCAUGAAGCUCUACAUGCAACUCAGUGUAGUCAUUGAUUAGGAAGACAUUGUGGGCUCCUUCAAGAAUGAGAGUUUCGAGCCAGUGGUGGUUGAUGCUAUAGAUCACUGCACUCCCCUGGUUGUUGAGAAACUUAGAAGGCCAUUUGUGACUAUCC
rnacentral:lncRNA from 12 species